UACGUAGGUGGCAAGCGUUAUCCGGAAUUAUUGGGCGUAAAGCGCGCGUAGGCGGUUUUUUAAGUCUGAUGUGAAAGCCCACGGCUCAACCGUGGAGGGUCAUUGGAAACUGGAAAACUUGAGUGCAGAAGAGGAAAGUGGAAUUCCAUGUGUAGCGGUGAAAUGCGCAGAGAUAUGGAGGAACACCAGUGGCGAAGGCGACUUUCNUGGUCUGUAACUGACGCUGAUGUGCGAAAGCGUGGGGAUCAA
rnacentral:rRNA from 1 species